AGCCGAAACCGUCGAGAGGCGGUCGGGGCGGGAUGGUUCCCGCCUCCUGAUGAUGGCAGCCAACU
rnacentral:hammerhead_ribozyme from 2 species